rnacentral:tRNA from 1 species
UCUGAAAUAAUUCAGUGGGUAGAGCGUCAGACUAUAAAUCGAGACGUUCUAGGUUCGAUCCCGGAUUCCGGCA